CGUUUACAUCCUAAUCCCUUCUGCGCUCUCUCCCUCUCUCUCUCUGACAAACCCUAGAUCUCUGUAGAACAUGUCUGGUAUGUACGGACAAGAAGCCGGCGAGUCCGGCCCCCCUCCGCACUACGGAGCUACCGGCGGUGCUGGAGGAUACGAUGGGGGAGGCUAUGGCGGUACUGGUGGUGGAGGAUAUGGUGGAAGUGGCGGCUCUGGUGGAUACGGUGGGGGCGGUGCCGGAGGCUAUGGAGGAGGAAAUAGCGACGGUGGUUAUGGCGGUCGUGGCGGCCGAGGGGGUGGGGGUGGAUAUGGUGGUCGAGGGUAUCAUGGAGGAGAUCGUGGUGGCCGAGGCGGUGGAGGUGGUGGCCGAGGAGGAGCUGGUGGUGGUGGUGGACGUGGUGGGAGCGGCAGAGACGGAGAUUGGCUUUGCCCUAAUCCAGGAUGUGGGAACUUGAACUUCGCCAGAAGAACUGAAUGUAACAAAUGCGGUGCACCCUCACCUGCGGGUGCAGGCGAUCGUGGGGGUAGUGGAGGCGGAGGCGGUUACAAUAGAGGUGGAAGUGGUGGUGGAUAUGGUGGUAGUCGAGGUGGUAAUUAUGGUGGUGGUAGAAGCAGUGAAUAUAAUGGAGGUAGAGGCGGUAAUAAUGAUGGUAGAGGUGGGGGAGGCAAUAGGGGUGGUUCGUAUGGAAAAGAAGAAGGUGUGUAUGGUCAGGCUCCUUCUGCUGCACCACAAUCUUUUUAUGGUGGGGCUGGUGGCAACCAGCCGCCACCUUACAAUUCAUACGGUGAGAACACAAAUUAUGGAAUGGAUGCUGUUCCUCCACCUACAAACUAUGCUGGAGGGCCUACAUCGUAUGCACCAUCUUAUGGUGGCCCUCCUGUGGGUGGAUAUGGUGGUGAUGGUCCUGGAAAUGUAAGAGGUGGCAGCCGUGGUGGCGCCCCCGGUGGAUAUGAUAGUGGACGUGGUGCUGGUGGUCGAGGUGGAUAUGGUGGUGCUCCUGCUGAGACCCCUGCUAAGGUGAAGCAGUGUGAUGAGAAUUGUGACGAUACUUGUGACAACGCAAGAAUCUACAUAUCAAAUUUGCCACCAGACGUGACGACUGAAGAACUAAGGGAGCUCUUUGGAGGCAUUGGACAAGUUGGAAGAAUCAAGCAAAAACGUGGAUAUAAGGAUCAAUGGCCCUGGAAUAUAAAAAUAUAUACAGAUGAGACGGGAAACAACAAAGGUGAUGCAUGUUUGGCCUUUGAAGAUCCGUCCGCUGCACAUUCAGCUGGAGGCUUUUUCAACGAUUACGAUAUGAGGGGAUAUAAAAUCAAUGUUGUGAUGGCGGAGAAGUCUGCACCAAAAGCUCCACCUAGCUUUGACCACCGGGGUGGAGGUAGAGGUGGAUAUGGGGGAGGAGAUAGGCGCAGGGAUAAUUAUAGAGACGGAUCUGGACCUGACAGACAUCAGCAUGGUGGGAAUCGAUCGCGUCCUUAUUAAAGAACCUCAGCAUAAAGCAUGUUUUGUAACUAUGAAUUGUGGUCUGAGAUUUUAUUGUGUUCCUAUGGCGGGAUACUUGAACUGGAGACUAAGAGGUAGGUUGUUCACUUACUCUGAGCAAGACCUCUUCUCUCCUUUAACCCUCGUUCGCUGCUAACUGGAGGGGCUUUUAUUUUUAGGCAUGGGAUUGAUUUUAAUUAUGUGAAUUUUUUAUAGAGGCAAGUGGAUAAUCUCCAAAUUGCUUGCUGCUAAGGUAGGUUGAUAUUUUCAGUUUGCUGUCGGGGAGGUGAUGCUGCUGAUUGCGGUUUGGACUAGCGUACUCAAUCUGCUACCCACUUUAUUUCACUAAGAAGCGUUUCUACUCAUAGUUACAUCUGUGGGUAGGCUGAAGGACGCGCUCCAGGGGGGGCUGUAUUUGUUGAUUACUGCAACUUGCAGUUAUUCCUUAGGAAAGAAAUGUAACCUGUUGCAUCGAAUGAAAAUCUUUAUUUCAAAUGGCUUGUUCGACUCCAAUAUCGGAUGGGCUUUUAGGGGCUUAGAUUUAGAUGUCUCGAAAAACAGCGAAAAAAGCUGAAGACACUAUUGGAAAAUGGACCGAGAUGCGCGCACAUUUUGCUUCGGAGCCGAAUAAUUCUGCUAUCCAUUUAUCGAGUACUUCAAAUGUUCUCUCUUCGGUAGGACUGAGCCGCUGAACCUAGUAAACUCGUGUAUUACAUUAGAACUUUGAAGGCCAUGUAAUAAGACUCGUGGUAUUAAUUAUCUUCUUUGUUGACAAUGACAUUACGAAUUUAUGAUAUUUGAUUUUAAAAGUGA